AAGUGAAGUGGCGCAUUGCCAGUCAUCUCGACUUUAGAGGGCAUCACUCAUUAUCACAGUCAUCGUAGUCAGUUGUAUAAAGAGGAGGAAAAACCCAGGUAUUCAACCAAACAGUCAGCCCACCUUCUCAAACAAAAAACGAAAAAUCAGAGUUUGCGGAAAUAUGAUUUAUGAACGUGAGGCUAAGUCAUAUAUGGCCAACAAAUAUAUAUACUAUAAGUAUAUAUGUAUACCUCCUCCUAUAUAUGUAGAUGGCUGACCUAAAUCUGUAGUGAAAGUGAAAUGCGCUCAUAUGCAAAUGAAGACUUAAAACCAACUCAACUCAUUGGCAAAGAAUUUUUUCUGUUUUAAAGUGAAAGGCGAAAACUGCAAAAUAAAGCAAUUUUUUAAUUAC